AUUGAACGCUGGCGGCAUGCCUUACACAUGCAAGUCGAACGGUAACAGGUCUUCGGAUGCUGACGAGUGGCGAACGGGUGAGCAAUACAUCGGAACGUGCCUAGUAGUGGGGGAUAACUACUCGAAAGAGUGGCUAAUACCGCAUGAGAUCUACGGAUGAAAGCAGGGGAUCGCAAGACCUUGUGCUACUAGAGCGGCCGAUGGCAGAUUAGGUAGUUGGUGGGAUAAAAGCUUACCAAGCCGACGAUCUGUAGCUGGUCUGAGAGGACGAUCAGCCACACUGGGACUGAGACACGGCCCAGACUCCUACGGGAGGCAGCAGUGGGGAAUUUUGGACAAUGGGCGCAAGUCUGAUCCAGCAAUGCCGCGUGCAGGAUGAAGGCCUUCGGGUUGUAAACUGCUUUUGUACGGAACGAAAAGCCCCGGGUUAAUACCCUGGGGUCAUGACGGUACCGUAAGAAUAAGCACCGGCUAACUACGUGCCAGCAGCCGCCGCGG
rnacentral:rRNA from 1 species